rnacentral:rRNA from 1 species
UACGUAGGUGGCAAGCGUUAUCCGGAUUUAUUGGGUUUAAAGGGUGCGUAGGCGGAUUUUUAAGUCAGCGGUAAAAUGUCCGGGCUCAACCCGGGCCGGCCGUUGAAACUGGGGAUCUUGAGUGGGCGAGAAGUAUGCGGAAUGCGUGGUGUAGCGGUGAAAUGCAUAGAUAUCACGCAGAACUCCGAUUGCGAAGGCAGCAUACCGGCGCCCGACUGACGCUGAGGCACGAAAGCGUGGGGAUCGAACAGG